rnacentral:rRNA from 1 species
AGCGAACGCUGGCGGCAUGCUUAACACAUGCAAGUCGCACGGGUCGGGCAACCGGCCAGUGGCGGACGGGUGAGGAACGCGUAGGAACGUGUCCUGAGGUGGGGAAUAACCCUGGGAAAC